rnacentral:rRNA from 1 species
UCUCUUAAAGCUGUUCUCAGUUCGGACUGCAGUCUNCAACUCGACUGCACGAAGCUGGAAUCGCUAGUAAUCGCGGAUCAGCACGCCGCGGUGAAUACGUUCCCGGGCCUUGUACACACCGCCCGUCACACCAUGGAAGUCUGCAAUGCCCGAAGCCGGUGGCCUAACCACUUAUGUGGAAGGAGCCGUCUAAGGCAGGGCAGAUGACUGGGGUGAAGUCGUAACAAGGUACC